CCGACUGCCUUGACGCUGGCGCCGGCCAGGUGGCCUGGGGUCUCUCCGGUGACACUUACUGGGCGUGCCCCUCCUUGUCCCUGUACCCUUCCCAUCUGGGCCACCAAGACUGGGGUUCGGCCUCAGCUCGGCGACCCCUCGGGAGACGUUUUUCCAGCCCCAGGGAAGGAGCCCCGGAGGAGUCGCUGUGAUGGGCGGGGACACCCACGUGGUGCCGGAGGCCCUUCUUCUCCGAGAAGCACCUUCGUGGGACCUAAGGUCCCCUUUCCCCAAUGGCCCGGGCGCCUGCCACCUCGUGCCUGUGACCCGGACGCCGAAGGGAUCCGGGCGACAGGGAGCUUCAUGCUCCUUUUCAAUGAAAAGUUAACAUUUGGAGAAUCAAACCGACCCGGGGCGGAGGCGCACACCCCGGGAUGGUGUCGGGGUUCUUGGCGCACUCGGGGCCCUCGCCUGCCAACCGGUGCUAAUAACCCGGACGCCGCCAGUUUAGGAAGUGGAUGAGAUCAUGGAUCCGAAAUGCUUUAAGUUUCCGCGGCGAGCAGUGUAACAACAGGGUUAGCGACAAACCGAGGGGAUUUCAACCACACAUCCAUUCCCCCGCCACAAAUGCCUUUCAGCUGCCACUUCGCAUGGUGGCUCAGUCCAGUUCAAGAUGCUGAAAAACUUCAGGGCUGGUGCUUGACAGAAGCUUUUCACAUAAAUAAGGUGUCCUUGAACAUGUGACAAUUGAUAAUAUACAAAAAAGUUUUUGCUUUCUUUGUCCCUUUCGUGGUAGCAGGCGUAAAUUUUGAGAAGGUGCCAAAUAUCUGUAAGAACAUAUUAUCUGCCCCAUAUGAAAUUUCCAUAGAAUAUAAUUCCAUUAUUUAAAGGAUUUUUUUCUAACAGCCUGCAGUUUGACACAGUAACUAGACUAGCUAGUCUACAACUAUCGUGGACAACUUUAUCAAUUGCUUUAAUUUUCAAAGAUUAUUUUAAAAUUCCACUCUUCACUGUUCUAAAGAUUAUGUGUUCCAAAGUACCCCUUUAAAAACUAGGUUUUAUAUCCUUCAGAUUUUUCCAUAAGAGAUCACUUUAAUGAUUAAAUUUGACCCUUUUGACAAAACUAAUCAAUGGAUUCCUAAGGGGAAGAGUUGGUUGCACAAGGGCAGGAGGGAGUUUUGAGGAACUGUUUUACAUCUUGAUUAUGGUGGUAAAUUGCAUCGGUCAAAUUUGGAGUGAGUUUUACUGACUGUAAAUUAUGCUUCAAUAAACACGACUUUUAAAACUUACCUUUUCUGGCAUCAUUGACAUUUCCGAUGAAGUUGAUGAGAAGGCAGUGGGGUCAGCACUUGAAUGAUUUCCUGAGACACUAAAAGUGACAAA